UAAUCUAACCUUAAGUCAAGGAUAACCUCGGGAAACUGAGGAUAAUACUUGAUAAAAAAUAUUUUCUGGAAUGAGAUAUUUUUGAAACUCGUGCUUAAGGAUGAGGCUGCGGCUGAUUAGCUAGUUGUUGGUGUAAUGGACUAACAAGGCGAUGAUCAGUAAGGGCUCUUAGCGGAGAGGCCCUGAGAAGGAAUCUGAGACACUAUUCCUAGCUCUACGGGGUGCAGCAGUCGAGGAAAUUUUUCAAUGCCCGCAAGGGUGAACGAGUAAGCCAGAGUGUUUUCUUUACGAAAACUUUUGCUUGAUGUAAAAAGUCAGGCGAAUAAGGACUGGGCAAGACCGGUGCCAGCCGCCGCGGUAAUCCCGGCGGUCCAAGUCGCAUCCACAAUUAUUGGGUCUAAAACAUCCGUAGCUUGUUUUGUAAGUCUCUUGUGAAAUUUCAUAUCUCAAGUAUGAAGCGUGCAAGAGAUACUACUUAACUAGAGACCGGAAGACGCAAAGAGUACGACGGAGGUAGCGGUAAAAUGUGUUAAUCUUUGUCGGGCUAACAAUGGCGAAGGCACUUUGCGAGUACGGAUCUGACAGUGAGGGAUGAAGGCUAGGGGCGCAAAAGGGAUUAGAUACCCCUGUAGUCCUAGCAGUAAACACUGCUCACUAAACAUCAGUACCUCCUCGAGAG
rnacentral:rRNA from 1 species